AGUACGGCCGCAAGGUUGAAACUCAAAGGAAUUGACGGGGCCCGCACAAGCGGUGGAGCAUGUGGUUCAAUUCGACGCAACGCGCAGACCCUUACCAGCCCUUGACAUGGGACUUCGCCGGGAGCAGAGACGCUUCCUUCGGUUCGGCCGGAGUCCGCACAGGUGCUGCAUGGCUGUCGUCAGCUCGUGUCGUAGAUGUUGGGUUAAGUCCCGCAACGAGCGCAACCCUCGUCUCCAGUUGCCAUCAGGUUAUGCUGGGCACUUUGGAGAAACUGCCGGUGACAAGCCGGAGGAAGGUGGGGAUGACGUCAAGUCCUCAUGGCCCUUACGGGCUGGGCUACACACGUGCUACAAUGGCGGUGACAAUGGGAAGCGAUGGCGCGAGCCGGAGCCGAUCCUAAAAAACCGUCUCAGUUCGGAUUGCACUCUGCAACUCGAGUGCA
rnacentral:rRNA from 1 species